GAUAUCUUUUUCAUUUAUCUAUGAUUUAAACAGCUUUACAGCAAAGGCUGCUGAAAUGCCUUCUUUAACCAAAUUGUCAUUAUAAAGGCUGUUAAGAAUGGAUGCAUUAAGUGUCCCAUUGGCCAGAAGAACCCAGUCAGCAUGGCUAGUUUGUUCCUCUUAGACUCUGAAAAACCCUUUAAGAAUAGCAGCAGCUUUUUAACUUCAUCCUCAAAUCCCUUUUCAAGGCUUGCAUGGUCUCUAGGUCUUCUUGUGCUGCAAAUACAGACAUCUGUACGCAUCAUAUCUGCCAGCAUGCCACCAGCCACCAGAAUGUCAGAGAGUGUUUCUGCAUAUCGGCGAUAAUCAAGUUUGCCCCAGAAGCAUCAAGAAAUUUUGCUACUGCUUCCAAAUCAGUGCCAGUUUCAGUUAAACCUUGAAUAAUAUAGUCCUGAAGCUGAGUAGGGUCAAACCUCUCUUUUUCAUCUCUUUUUCUAGUUUUAAAAAGCUGGCCUGAUAGGGUUGGCUUUUGCUGCUUUUGAUUAUUCAUAAAAGACACCCAAUUUUAAGGCAGAGAGAAAAGAGCCAGAAAUCCCUGAGGUGGCGGUAACUGCUGGGAAAAGUUUUAAAAGAAUUUAAAGGCCAAAGAUAAUUGCCAUUGCUAUAGAAGGUGUCCAGUGCAAAGGCCAAAUAGAGGAUGGAUUCCCUUUAGACAUUGAUGAUAAAAUGCUGAUUGAAUCAAGCCCCAGAAUUCUACAUUGACUCCUUAAUGAAAUUCACAAACACUGCAAAGAAUUAGAACUGACAACCCACACACAAAAGAACAAAUUUUGAAGUAUAUUUUAAAAAUUUACCACCUUUCUUGAUCCUUUUCUUUCUUGGAUAAUACAUGUUUUAUUUUUUCUGGAUUAGAUGUAGACACAGUUUUAAUAGUUGUUUUCUGACAUUUGUGAGCCAUGUUCUUUCCCUCCCUGAGAUGACAGCUAAUAGGCUAUAGGUUGGACUUGUGCUAUCAUGCAAUAUAUAAUUCUGUAUUUGUCAUGUUGUGAAAGAAGACACUUAUACCAGAAAAAAAUUUGUGGAAGAAAUAAAGUGAAAAAUAGUAUGAUUCA
rnacentral:lncRNA from 1 species